UACCUUUCUUCUCUCUUUGUCUUCCUUAAUUCUCUUUCUAGACUCUUGUCCUAAAAUCGGACUUGUCCUUCCUAUUUUUGGACUUGUCCUAAUAAGAGAAAAAAGAGACUAAUUGGACAAUAGGGAGAGGUGUUGGGAAUAGUGUCCCAAAGCCAAUCGUCAGUCUGUUGACAGUUGUGCUCAUUUUUGUAUAUGUACAUGAAUUAU
rnacentral:lncRNA from 1 species